CUCAUUCUCCAGUCAGUUUUGACCCAAACAGUUCUCUCCCACUUUAAAGGCGUCUCCCGUAAGACUGGCUAGAUCAAGUUAUAGACACGCUAAACUGCCAAGGACACUUGGGACUAGGCUUGUGCAGCCCUGUUCGGAUCUGCUUGUAAAAGUGGGAAUGGGAUUCACGAAGGAUCAGGCUGUGUACAUUCAAGGUUCGUGGCACAGGGGCGUACAUACCCUUCUGUCCCCAUACCUGCUAUUUGCAUCAGCUGCCGCAAAGGAGAACAAGAAAGCCUAUAUUAUCACCUGGCUAGAAAGAAGAUUUCUCACAGCCUACCUUCUUCUACUACAAGCUUUACAAAGCCUUUCAUUGUCCAUGAGGCAACUUGGUGUGAAUUAGAAAAAGACACCAAACUCAAGGCUUGAAGAAUGGAUGGCCGACUCUACAAUUCAUCUGGAAGAGCUGUUGAGCAAGGACGCCCAAAUUUGGAAAAGAAGAGCAAAGGAAGCAACAUGCAUUUUUAAUAUCCAUGAGGGGGAAAAAAACCCUUGGGAUUCGAAUUGGGAUUGUGUUAAAUAAACAGAUUAAUUUGGAGAGAAUUGACAUUUUUUUAACACUGGAUCUCUUUUAUAUGAUCAUAGAACUUAUCUAUUCAUAUUUUCUUUUUUGCCCUUUAAUAAAGUUUCAGAGUUUUCUUCAUAUAGAGCUUACACAUUUCUUACGUUUACCUCCAGAUGUUUCUUAGGUUUGGCUGCUGUUGUGAACAGUUUUUUUCUAUUUUUCAAAGCUAUUGAUUUAUUCCAUGUUAAUCUUUAAUCCACUCAUUUCACUGAUCUCUCGUACUAGUUCUAAUGGCUUUUACUUGAGAUAAAUUCCACACAUAUAUUAAAUAUAUAAUGCAAUCAGUUUUGAUAAAUCUAUACCCUUGUGAAACAAGACCCUCUCAAGAUAGUUCUAAUAGUUAUCUUUUAAAGAAGAUUUUCUAGGAUUUCUUAAACUGUAAUAUAUUGUCAGCUAAU
rnacentral:lncRNA from 1 species